GUGGUGGUGGUGUUUUCUUGAAGUGAGUUCUGUGUUUCUUGAUUUUGGAUGGCAAAGAGAGUGAAGGUGGGCUUAUAAUUGACAUGGGGUGUUUUGAGGUUUGGAAAUUGAUGGGAAAAAAAAGGAGAAGAAGGGAUUUUGAGAUUGGGAGAAAGUUUGAGACGAGAAAGACAUUGAUUAGCAAAGAGACUACUCUCCAUGGAGAUGGUUUGCUAAUGGAGAGCAAGGGGUACAGAGGGGACUGAAUUUUUCAAUGGAGAGUUGUUGGCAGCCUGCAAUUUUGAGAGAGACAGAGACAGAGUUUAGGAUAAGAAAUCCC
rnacentral:misc_RNA from 1 species